UACGGAGGGGGCUAGCGUUGUUCGGAAUUACUGGGCGUAAAGCGCACGUAGGCGGCUUUGUAAGUUAGAGGUGUAAGCCCAGGGCUUAACCCUGGAAUUGCCUUUAAGACUGCAUCGCUAGAAUCGUGGAGAGGUGAGUGGAAUUCCGAGUGUAGAGGUGAAAUUCGUAGAUAUUCGGAAGAACACCAGUGGCGAAGGCGACUCACUGGACACGCAUUGACGCUGAGGUGCGAAAGCGUGGGGAGCAAACAGG
rnacentral:rRNA from 1 species